CGUUGACCUUUCCCCCGCAAGCACCCAGACGCUCGAUCCCCUUCCUCUCGUCGCCGGAGACGGGGGGGCGCCCCGCGGCCCCCUCCGGGCCGAUGUCGUUGCCGAUCUGCCGCUUCCCCGAGGCCCCGGCGUCGCCACGGAGGCCGGCCGCACUCGCCGACGACCUCCUGGAGGAGAUCCUCCUCCGGGUCGCCUGCCCCGCGGACCUCGCCCGCGCCUCCGCCGCGUGCGCCACCUUCCGCCGCCUCGUCACCGACGCCACCUUCCUCCGCCGGUACCGCUCCCUCCACCCGCCGCUCCUCCUCGGCUUCAUCGAGACCGUGUCCUCUGGCUUCCAACCCGCCGAGGCGCCCCACCCCAACGCCGCCGCCGCGCGCUCCAUCGCCUGCCCCGCCGACGGCUUCUCCUUCGACUACCUCCCUCCCACCAGAUGGAAUUGGAACCUAUGGGAUGCCUGCGACGUUCGCGACGGCCGCAUCCUCCUCAAGAGCAGCCCUAUGUGCAUAAUGGGCUAUGGGGGAGUCAACUUCCCGGAACUCGUCGUGUGCGACCCCUUGUUCCGGCGGUAUCGGCUGCUGCCUCCCAUACCCGACGACCUACUCGCCUCCGUCCACGUCCAGCAGCAAAAUUUUCCAUCAUUCGAGGCCUUCCUUGUUCCUUCUGGAGAAGAGGAGGAUGAGACAUCGUUCAGAGUGAUUGGCAGGGCACAUCGUGCGAUCAAGUCUGUGGUAUUUGUCUUCUCUUCAGGCUCUGGCCUAUGGAGUGUCGGCACCACGUGGGAUGAUCUUAACUUAGGAGGCUCCACACUUCUUUGUCGCUGUUAUGCGUAUGGCUACAUCUACUGGAAAGUGAUGAGGGCCAACAAGUUAUUCAAGCUCGACAUCAACAGAAUGGUUUUCUCCGUCGUUGACCUCCCACCUCACUAUGACGAGCGUGAUGUUAUCAUUGUGGAGGCAGGAAAAGGCAGGGUUGGGGUGUUUAGCCAUAUUAAGUUUGCCACCUCUGUGUAUCAUGCCACUCAGGAAAAGGAGGGCGAGAUUGCUGAUGGGUGCCAGUCAGAGAUUAUAACGCACUUACCUGCCAGUUAUGAUUUUUGCAUGGUUGGUGCAGCUGGAGGGUACAUAUGCUUUGUAGGCUUUCCAAAAGAUCGCAGGGUAGAUGCAGCAAGCUUCUCACUUCAGGUUAAGACAUUGGAGAUUGAGAUGGUCUGUAGGAUGAUGUUCCAGUCAUUUUAUAUUCAUCCGUAUUUCGGGUACCCACCAUCCAUGUCACCAAGAAGGAUAUGAAGUGGUCUGUAGCAAUGGACUGGAAGCAAAUCUUUCAAAUUUAUCCACAUCCUUGUGAUGAUGUUGGAAAUUGGUCAUUCCUGUUGCAGGGCUAAAUGGCAUCCAGGUCUGGGGCUCCUCCAUUGACAUGCUGCUGCGUGGGGAGCUAGGCAAUGAUGAUUCAGGCUUUUCUAUUGCACUUCUAGUAGGUGUUACAUCGUCCUGUACUCUACUGAUAUUAUCUGUUGAAUCCUGUUCACUCUGAUGUAGGUAUCGAACUUAGCUGCUGUGUAUAUUUGUUACUGAUCCAUGGUGCGUGUAUGAUGUACUUUACUCCAUGUAUCAACUAUCAGUGGCAAAUUUUGUGGGCUUUGUUUGUUACAGAAUUUAGUGUGGACAUGUGGUGCUUGUCUUGGAGAA